AAGGUUGCUUUUGUUUGUGAUCCGAAAAACAAGACGACCUUUUUGUUCCAUGUAGGCAGAUUUAUGUUUUCUUAUCAAUCCAAUGUGGAAAGUGAACAAAUCCGGGACCAAUAUUGUUUUUGGCUUUGCGUCAAAGAGCUGUUUAUUAAAAAAAAACUAGAAAAGCCGGUUAUUGCAAUAAACCGACCUUUGCCUCUUCCCAAGAGCCACCUCUCCUCAUCCCUCGUGGCAUUUUGUUCUCAUCCAAUCUUACACGCCCUCUUGUAUUGCCAAUUGUGAU